rnacentral:lncRNA from 1 species
UUGUCCAAGUUCUGAACCAAAACAAAACCUGGAAUUUGCACCUUUUAUUUGUUCAACGGUAAUGUAAGGGUUUCUCUUUAAGUCCCCCCCAUACAUAUUAUAUAUUGUUUUUUAAUAGUCAGAAAUGGCUCUCUCUUAAUAUCAUAUAUGUAUUCUUAACACAACAUUAAGUGUAAAUAAAAUGUUAGUAAUGGGAAAAACACAUCUAGUAGAACUAAAUAAAAAUAACUCAAAAUAAACUCACAUAUCAGACCUGAUUGUUAAAUACCUCAUAUGUCCAGGACCUAAAUGAUUAAGUAGUAAACGCUAACCCUAUAACAACCCCCUUCUAACAGUAUGCCAAGCCUGCCCUAAUGCUUACACUAACUAUAUCUUCCGUAACUCUACACUAUUCCUAAUCCUAAAACAGAUUUCAUUCUAACACUAACUCUACCCCUAACCUUAACCCUUAGGAAACCCUCUGCUAAAAUCAGUACUGUUUUCAGCGGAUGAGUUUCCUAGCUAAAACAGUAGAGAGCAGUAUAUAGCCAUCAUCUACCUGCAGUUUUCAGCAUUAAUCAUAUCCCUGUAAUGCCAUUUGUGAUCGGUGCUGAACAGCUGGCAAAGCCCAGCAUCAAAUACAAUAAGCAUGAGGCCAUAGUGGGAGACCCUGUGCAGACCCAGGGUUAACCCUUGAGCACCUGCCAGCCCAGAAUCAGCAUGGCUGAGAGCGAGCUGUUCAGCCUCAGUGUUCUCAAAGGCUUUAAAGAGCUACUGCUCUUCGGUCAGCUUGGGGCCACUAACAGACAUUCUGACAGAGGGGAGCCCAAGGUAUAGAUUGUUACUGGGGUAUCCCUGGUGUGAACAGGGUUUUAAUCCAGCUCACACAACAUUGCUGCAAUAGGUAUUUAAAUGCCUUUUUAAAUGGCGACAGUAGCAAUCUGUUUUAGCACUGUAUACAGUGCAUCUUUCAGUCUGGGGCUCCUAGUGUGAACUGGGAUUUAACCCCAAUCACAUCGCAAUGCAGUCAAUGAGGAUUUAAAUAUCAAUUUAAGCGCUUCAGACUUCUUUUGGAUCAACAGCAAAAACAUAUGUAAGGAAGGCUGAACUUGAUGGACAUAAGUCUCUUUUCAGCUAUGUAACUAUGUAAUUUAAAGUACUGUAUAUAGUGCUCACUUUAACCUCUGCUGACAGAGGGGAGCAGGGAUUUAACCCUACACACACCAAAACAAUAGGACGUGUGAAUACGUCCUAACCACAUUAACGCCCUGUAUAUUUAGGAUGUAAUUAUUUGUCCUAACUUUGUUAAGUGGUUAAAGAGAAACCCUUGAAUUACAGUGGGAUAAACACAGAGCACAAAUUCUAGCUUUUAUUUCAGAAGUUGGAUAUUGCCUCCAUCCUUAAGGGGUUAAAUCUUUAUUAGUGAUAUAUUGACCUUGUCAACACCAACAUAUACAUGAUUACUCACACAUAUAUAAGUAGCCACUUACAGAAUUCUAAUUGGCCAUGCUCAAAGACACCCAGAACUAAGCAUGCCUAAUUAGCCAAACAGGCAUAACUAGCCAUUCACAUGCACACAAAAUAUGCUACAUGCACCAACCUUAUUAGUAACACACUCAUACAGCUAACACUCACACACAUUUGUAUACAAACUUAUUUUAUUAACUCUCUGUUCAUCCCUUGAAACACCUCUGCGCCCUGUUGUCCUCACUUCCUGUUGACCCUUUGGGGGAAGCAGGAGAGAUGUGCACCUAGCGGCAGAGCUUUACCUACUACUCCCCUUCAUCACUUUUCUCACUAACAGGCACAGGGUGUUGGGAUAACACCUCAUAUCCCAGAACCAUCUACCUGUCCCAGUGUUACGCUGAAGAGGUUGCUGACUGUUACGCUGCAAAUUGGGAAGACAGCAAUUAAAAUCCUGCCCAACAUCCUGAGUUGCAUUAUGGAAACUACUCAUCCUCCAUGCCCACACUGUCAUGUGGCCCUCAAAGUGAAUAGCCCAGUGCAGUUGCCUGCUUACCUUUCCCAAAGUAUGGGCCUUUUAUUAUGGAUUCCACUUAAAUUACAGAACAUCUUAUAACUGUCUAGAAUGAAGGUCUAGAAUUAGAAUGUUGAGAUGAUUCUUCACAACCCUGUGCUUUUAAACUUGCAAAACAGGAUCUAUGUUGUAGAUGAAGAUUAGAAAAAUGUAUUAAAAGCAUUAUCCACACCUUACGCAUCAACUUAUUACAUGUGUGAAGAUCUAUAAAAGGCACCCAUGACGUAGUAUGUAUACAAACAUACGUUGUACUUGAAAAAUGUUUAAUUACUCUAUAAAAACUGUUUGGCAGAGCAACACUGUACUGUAUUUUGCUUUUUUUUAGUUAAUGGAUUCAAAUAAAUUCAAG